UACGAAGGGGGCUAGCGUUGUUCGGAAUUACUGGGCGUAAAGGGUGCGUAGGCGGGUCUUUAAGUCAGGGGUGAAAUCCUGGAGCUCAACUCCAGAACUGCCUUUGAUACUGAAGAUCUUGAGUUCGGGAGAGGUGAGUGGAACUGCGAGUGUAGAGGUGAAAUUCGUAGAUAUUCGCAAGAACACCAGUGGCGAAGGCGGCUCACUGGCCCGAUACUGACGCUGAGGCACGAAAGCGUGGGGGAGCAAACAGG
rnacentral:rRNA from 1 species